rnacentral:rRNA from 1 species
GACGAAGGUGGCGAGCGUUGUUCGGAAUCACUGGGCAUAAAGCGCACGUAGGCGGCGCGGUAAGUCGGGUGUGAAAUCUCGGGGCUUAACUCCGAAACUGCAUUCGAUACUGCCGUGCUUGAGGACUGGAGAGGAGACUGGAAUUUACGGUGUAGCGGUGAAAUGCGUAGAUAUCGUAAGGAAGACCAGUGGCGAAGGCGGGUCUCUGGACAGUUCCUGACGCUGAGGCACGAAAGCCAGGGGAGCGAACGGG